rnacentral:rRNA from 1 species
GAGUAGUAAGUGUUUUGGGCAGGAAACUUAAAGAAUUUGGCGGUGUAUAUUCUAAUUAGAGGAAUAUGUUUUUUAAUUGAUACUCCCCAAGUAUUUUACUUAAUUUCAUUUAUUUUGUAUAUCUCCGUCUUAAAAAAACUUUCUAAAAUAUUUUUUAUUUCUUAUAAUUUAAAAUAAGUCAGGUCAAGGUGCAGGUUAUAAUUAAGUUAAAAUGUAUUACAAUAAAAUUAUUUUUGGAUUAAAAUUUAAAUAGUAGUUUUAUUAAAUUGGAUUUAUGAGUAAAUUUUUUUAUAAAAUAAUUUAUUGAAUUGUGUUAAUAUACAUGCACACAUCGCCCG